rnacentral:lncRNA from 1 species
AAAAGUAGAGGCAUUAACAUUUGUCAUCUCUCCUGAAAAAUUAUUUCCAUCCAAAUAUAAAUUCUCCACCCCAUUCGCGCUGAGAAUCACAGGAACUACAUUUCCACUGAAGUUGUUAUUUGAUAGUUUCAAAAUGAUCAGUGAGCCUUUCGUGAUCAACUCUUCUGGUACUUUUCCAUACAAUUGAUUGUUUGAUAGAUCUAAAAAUGAUAAGUACUUCAUGCCACUUAAACAAAGUGGGAUAUUACCUUCAAAAGCAUUCUUGGAUAAGAGUAACCGCCUCAAAUGUGGAAAAGUUGAACAUAUACCAGUCGGAAUUUGACCUUGUAAUUUGUUUUCAGAUAUGUCAAUUGAAGAUACAUUAGAAAUAAGAGCUGACGAACGUGAGAGAGGACCUGUAAAUGAAUUACCCUUCAAGAUGAGUUCUUCUAACUUUGUGUUGUUUUCUAGCAACCAAGUUGGUAAAGUUCCACUGAGAUUGUUAUGAGAAAGAUCCACAUAUCUCAAGUCAUAUUGGUAGUAAAGGAAGGUAGGAACUUUUCGACUGAGUUGUUGAGAUGUUAUGCACUUUGACAAACUGAUGACUUCCAAUUGGAACUUUGGGAUUGAGGUAUAAAAGGAAGGUUCCAAUACCAUUUUGUUUUCAUUACUGGAGAGGGCUUUGAGGUUUGAAAGGUUUGCAAAUGGUGCAAAUGACAGUGGAAUUUGAAAAUGGUUUCUUGAAAUAUCUAACACACGAAGAGAUGUCAAGUUACUAAAACAAUGAGGAAGCAUCCCCUCAAGUGCAUUCUCACUCACUUCCAACACUUCAAGGUUCCUUAGAUCACACCAUCCUGAAAAUUUUAUAAAUUCAUGGAAGAAGUUUCAAUUAAAUCUUGUUUUAUAAAACAGAAUAGGAUAUAAUAUAUUACAGAAAGCACAUACAGCAAUCAAUUUGAGCCAUAAAAUUAUUUACCUUGAUUAGGUAAGGGACCAAUAAGUCCACAAUCAGAUAAAGACAAUGUUUUAAGAGAAGCAAAUACUCCAAUGCUUUGCAAAAUGUUGGUGUUGAGAGUAGAAUUGUCAAGAUAUAUUUCCUCCAAAUUGCUCAACACAUUUGAAUCUAAGCAAUGUCAAGAGGUAUUAGAUAACGGUAUUAUAGAAAGCCUCUACUAAGUGAAAUGCUUUAUUUUCUGUGAAUGAAAUGAAAUAUAUAAAUUUUUUUUAUGAGUGUUAGACUAUUCAUGAUUAUCUGAGAUAAAUUUUGAUGGAGAGAAGAUGUUGAAACUUUAAUAUAACUCUUCAUCCAUUUUAUUAAUUAUACUAUUUUUUUUCUUUUUAGUAUUUUCUUAUAUUAUUUUUUAAUAUAAGUAAUUAACUGAUAUGGCUAAUUUGUAUAAUUUUCAAACUCCAAUCAACAACACUAUAAAUAAUAUUUAUAAAAUAAAACAUUUCUACACUAAAAUUAUUAUAUUACCUUUAAAGUUACCAAUACUUUAAAAAAAAAUAAAAAUAGGUAUUUUACUCACCAAUAAAUAAAAUUCAAAAAUAUAUUUAUAUAUGAAAUUAAAAAAUUUAUAUGUAUUUUUACUUUAAAAAAAUAAAAACAGGUAUUUUACCAAUACUCUAAUAUGUAUUUUUAUGUUUUAUACUAUUAAAAAUAUAUGAAAUUAAAAUAUAGUUAUAUUACAUAUUUUCUCAUAAAUAUAUGUUUUUAUUUAUUUAUAAUAUCAUUUUUUUAUUGUUAUAAUCAUUUUUUAUCUCAUAAAAAUUCAAUAAAUUAUUUUAAAAAAUAUAUUUAUACAAACAAAAUAAUUAUAAACAUUAAUAUUUAAAAAUUAUGAAAAAUUUAAAGAAUUUUAGUUUCAAACCAAAGUCGAAACACAUUAUAAUGGAGGGUUUAGAAAAUGUUUCACCAAACCCAUAUUUUACUUUCAAGUAUGAUAUGAUAUAACUUUAUUAAUAUUUAUGACAAUAACUGUUAUUAUAAUAUCUGAGAUCAAAACUAAAUUUCUAAAUUAAAAAAGAAAAGGAAAUUUAAUUAAAUGAUACCUUGGUGGAUCACAAAAUCUCUCAAUUCAUUAUAGCUCAUAUCUAGUUCCCUUAAUUUGAUAAAUGCUUCCAAAUCUAGGAAAACAAAAACAACAAAUUAAUCAACUCCAUUAUAUUCUCUUAAAACAUUAUUAUAUUCUUGUUAAAAAACUAAUAUUUUUACCUUUCAUAUCUAUUGAUCCUUUCAAUUGAUUGACCCUUAUGCUCAACGAUUUCAAAUUUGAAAGCUUGUUAAGGGAUGCAAAUGCACUAGUAUUGAAGAGAUUUCCAUCUAAAUUAAGCUCUUCCAAGUGGGUCAACUCCAAUUUUCUACCACCAUCUACAAAAGAUUUAUAUAAUUUCAUCACUGAAAUGAAUUGGCAUAAAAUUUAAUUAUAUGUAAGAAUUUAGGUAAUUGGUUAAAUAUAAAUGCAUACCUUUAAAGGAUUGAAAGCUUUCAAUUUGAUUCCCACUUAAAUCGAGUUUCUUCAAAUUUGUUAAAUUGCUCAAUCCUAUACAUAUCCACGUCCAAUUUAAAAAAUCAUUAUGUUAAUAAUUUUAAUUUCUACUUAAUAUUUUAAUGAAAUAAAAAUGAAAAAGAAAGUAAAUCUAAAACUUGAAGUGAAGAUGAAAAUCCUCAAACGUGAAAUGUGAAUGUUCAAAAUUAAAACAAUUGAUUUUAAAAGGUUCUAGAAAGAAUUAUCAAGAAAAACAAAGUUAUAGCUUUAGUACCUUUAGUAUCUAAUGAGCCUUGCAAACUGUUCGACCUCAUAUUCAAGGACUUUAGGCUUGAAAGCCCUUGAAGAAAGGAAAUUGUGUUGUUCCGAAAGAGAUUACCACUCAAAUCAAGUUCCUCUAAGUUUGUUAGCCUCAAUUGUGUUCCAUCUAUCAUUGGAAGAAAAUAAUAUCAUUCAAGAUAAAAAUAGUUAGGAAAAAUGAUUGUUUGAGAAGGAAGAGGCAAUUUACAAGCUUUCCCAUGAAUUGAUAACUACAUUUUACAAGUAAAACUUAAUUGAUUCAAUAUAUAAAUACUUUGUUUGAGAUACCUUCCUAUUUUGAAAUACUGCAACAUUAACUGUCCCUUAAACAAAAAUUGGUUUUAAAGUGAAAAAGAAACAUAUAAAAGCAGUCCACCUUUAAUAUGAAUUGACAUAUAAAUACUGUACUUAUACCUUGGUUUGAGAUGCUUUCAAAUUUCAAUUCUGUUCCAACUUAAAUCCAAGUAUUUCAAGUUUGUCAAAUUAUUCAAUCAUAAAAUUCAAUCCCAAAUAUUGAUUAGUUAUAUAUUCAUCGUAUGAUGAAAUCAAACUUGAAUAUACAUUGAUUUUUAAAGUUGAAAAGAAACAGGUAAAAUCAGUCUACCUUGAAUAUGAUCCAUCCUUCCUUUCAACUCAUUACCACUCAAUCUUAAAGUCUUCAAGGAUGAAAGAUUUCUCAUAUGGAACAAAAUGCUAUUCUUCAAAGAAUUCCAACUUAAAUCAAGAGUUUCCAAGUUAUUGAGUCUUGAAAGCAAUUGAAAACCUGAUAUAUAUACAUAAUUACUUGUUAAUUGUUUUUUUCUUUCUUUGCUAUAUGAAAAUUUUACUAAAGCAAUAGUGGAAUUACAACGGAUAAAAAGAAUGGAAAACUAGGUACCAAACCCAGAAGACCAUCCUCAAACUCCACUAUACAAAUAAAAACUAACACCAGACCAAACUUAAUUUACCUCUUAGAUGACUUGAUCCUUCUAAUUUGUUGUGUGAUAGAUCUAAAUACCGGAGAGAUGAAAGCUCACUCAAAGAUAACAAAAUGCUGUCAUUCAAGUAGUUUUCACUUAAGUCAAGGAUCUCCAAAUUACUCAACGUGGAUGAUAGUUUUCCAAAGCCUAUAGAAAUAUUCUUUUAAAUAUAUACAAGUUAGUGACUUUUCUUCCAUAAAAUAAAAUAAAAUAUAAGUAAUUGCAAAUUAACGAUGGUGAGAGUAGUGGAAUAAUAAAAGAUGUAAUUAAGGAAAAACUAGAGGCACGACCUUCAUUUUCAAGAUUACCACUUAUGGCAUUCCCCGACAAAUAAAGACUCUUCAAUUCCUCAAAGGGAAGAAACAUAGAGGCAUUGAGAUACCAGGCAUUGAGAUUCCUAUUAUCCAUGUCGUAUUCCCAUUUUGUAGAAUUAAGGGAGAGUUGUAUGAGUCUCCUAGUGGUGGUGUUACACUCAACUCUUUCCCAUUUACAACAAUCUGAACCCUUCACCUCAACCCAACUAUUCAAUUGAUUACCAUCAUUGAAGAAAGGUUUGAGAUGCAAGAGAGCGAUUCUCUCAUGCUCCAAACAAGCAUCAGUAGUACACCAUCUGCAUCCUUCUAACACCAACAACAUUACUGCCAUCCUAAUAAACCUUAACCAUUUCCACUUCAUCAUCAUCAUCAUCUCUCUGUUUUCACUUCUCUCUCAGCUAUAUGUUACUUUUUUUUAACUUCUAUAUGUAUAUAAUCUAAAGAAGCCUAAGCUUCUUAUUUAUAUACAAGCAGAUGCAUCCCACUAACUCACUAUAAUGUAAAAAUAAUAUAUAAUUAAUUAAUUCCUCAAAAAUUGGAUCAAAAUCUAGGCUUCUUAUUUACGUAAAUUAUUUAUUGCAAAAACUCUUAGUGGAAAUUCGUUAGGAAGGGAUGAAGGGGCCACAAGAAUAUUGAUGUUAAUCUUGAAAAACGAAUGGCCAAAAAAAUAUGAAAAGUGAGAGGUGGACAUAAAAUCGUAUAGUUGGGAUUGCAAAAGUCUUCAUGUGGCUUUCUUGUGAGUUUCAUUUAUACCCUUCUUACACUUAUACAAACUUAGUCUUGACUUGGCUUUAUUAAUGGAAAAUUUAGGUCUUCAUUUUUGGUUUUAUUCAUAGAAAUUUUACUUCUUUGAUUUUGGUUUUAUUAAUGGAAAUUUUAAGUCUUCAGUUUGCUUUUAUUCUUGCACAUUUUAGGUUUUGAUUUUGAAAAUUUAGUUUUUUCAUCUCUAUUAUUAUAAAAUUUCUUAAUUUAAUUAAUAUCAUGAGUUAAUUUAAUACUUUAAAAAAUAAAAUAUUACAUUCACUAUUUUUUAAAAAAUAAAAGUAACUAUAAAAUUUUAUUAUUUAUAUAAUAUUUAAAAAAAAACUAUUUAUUUCUACUAGACCACUACUUUAAAACUAUCCAUUAUCAUAUUGUAAUAGGCCCAAUUUGCCCGGGCCCGGUAAAUAAAUAAAACCAAUAAAAUCAAAUAAAAAAUAGUCCCAAAACAGUCCAUUUACAAUGACCCAAUACCAACCCAAUGGCCUAAAUCUCUACCCAAGCCCGAAUCUAAACCUAAACAGGCCCAAAACCCACUAAACCUAAUGGCCCAAUACCCAGCUUGGCUGAGACAAACCCUAGCCUUCAGCAGCUUUCUGCUCUUGCGCUGCAGCCAAGCCGCUCCUCACGUACGAGCCUCAUUCAUGCGCCGCACCGAGCAACGCCAUCGCCAGGGACCACGCCUGUACUGUGCCACGCGAGCCUCCGUACAUGCGCGCCCGUUCACCUCUGUACCAGUACCUGCAAAUACACACAAGAAGCAGCGAAGCAACAAAAAAAAAGAGAAAAUAGCAGUAGAAAAAUAGGGGAUUUUCAGUUUUUAUUUGAUUUUUCUGGCUAUAAAAGCCAAACACGCAGAUUGUAUCAUAGGGGGAACUCACGCAUAUUGCAAAAAAACAAGGGGCAGAAAAUCAAUACAAAAAAAAAAAGAAAAGGUUUUCUCUUCCUUCAGGUCUCUUUUCUUCUCCAAUUGUUUCUUUUCUUUUUCGAUUGUUAUUAGCCUCAUAUAAGUAUAGAUAUAUAUAGAGUAAAUAAUAACAAAAAGGGGGGGUUAAAACGUACCUGGUGAUGCCUUUGAAUCCACGCGAAGAAGCCAAAAAGCCUUGAAUGGUGAGGCUCCGACCACCAUUCGCAGUGGAAUCAAGGCGGAGGGGCGGACUGACGGCACUGAAGACUAGGGUGAAACCCUAGCAGAGGAAACAAUAAGCAAUUUUUUUUAAAAACGAGUCUGCUAAUGUUUUUUUUAGGGUAAAUUUUGUUUAAAUAAUGAUACAAUACGGAGCCGUUUUGGGCUAGGGUUCCUAGCGUCCAAACGACGUCGUUUAGAGGCCUUACCCAAUGACCCGAUCCAGAUGGCGGCUAGAUCCGCGUGUUUGGUAGGGGGAGGGGAAAUUUCGCGAAGAGUCCCUCUUGUUUUGUGCCGUUUCGGUUUGAUUUUCUUCAUUGUUUUUAAUUUGAAUCGCGUAUUUUAUUUUGUUUUCAAUUUGAUCCACAGUUAAACGGCGCCGUUUUCACUAAUCGGAUUUGAGCAUCCGAACAUUUGUGUUUAUUUUCUGUUUUAGUCCUCUCUGUUAUUUUUUAUUAUGAUUUUUACCCUCCUAUUUUAUUUUCACCCUAAUUUAGUCCCGAAACUGUUAGAUUUCACUUUAUUUAUGCAAUGUAUAUAUUUAUUUAUUUUAAACUUUAUAUUAUUUAUUUUAAAUCGUUCUAUUACUAUUUAUUUUAAGCCUUUUUUACAUAUUAUAUGUUUUAAAUUAUGUUAAUCAAUUAUUCAUUUUAAAUAUAUAUUAUUUAUGUUAAACUACAAAUGUAUAUUAUUUAUUUGGAAUUGUUCUUAUGCACAUCAUGCAUUAUCAUUUUUAAAAAAAUAAUAAUAAUAGAAUUUGUUUGCAUAUUGUUCAUUUAGGAUUCCUUCUCACACAUUACUUAUUUUAAACGUUUUACAUAUUAUUUUAAAUUGUUUUAUAUGUUUUUUUUUAAAUGCUUUGAAGAUUAUUCAUUUUAACUUGUUUUACACAUUAUUUUAAUAUGUAUGGAAUUGCUUUAAUAUAUAUAUACGUGAAUAAAACGUAUUGUAACUGGUAAUUUCUAAAAUUUUAUUCUACGUUUUAAAAUUUUUAUCAUUUCGAUUAUGUUGAUUGGUUUACUUGGGAUUAAAUUAUUAUUGCAUUGAUUAUUCUUUUUUUUGAUUUUUUUGUUAGAUUGAUUAUUAGUUUAUUUGAUUAUCAAUGUUGAUGUAUUAUAUGUUUGGUUGCUCCAAAUUGUAAAUUUAGCUUGCUAUUCACCAUUUGAUUAGUAUAUUGAUAUUUUAUUAUAUUGUUUGUAAAAAUUGCAUUUCAUUAAAGCAUUACAAUUGUUUUAUUUCAAAAUUCUCAAAAAGCUUGGUAUUUAAAAAUUCUCGAGAGGAUUGUGCCCUAACUUACUGGGCUUACCUUUUUUAAUUUGAACAUAGAAGUUUCAAAAUAAAAGCUCAUUCUCGGGAAUUUGACACGUUGUGUCCUAACGCAUUGAAUAUGACUAUUAUUUUCUCGAGAUGAGGAUUUUAAGGCAAUGUUCGAUAUUUAGGAAUUUUGUGAAAUCGAACCCUAACUUACUGGGUUUUGAUUUUCUCAUUUGACCCAGAUAAUCGGACAUCCUCCUCAAAAUGCAUAGGUUUUAAAAGACGAGAGAUAAACUUAACUUGGAGGACUUAAAAUGUUGCACUCUAACUUACUAAGGGUGACGAUUUAUUUCUUUGAAAUAAGUGAGUCUCGUCGUCCAAUUCAUUUUAUUCAAAAUAAAAGGAUCAAAUUUUAAAAUCUUUUCAAAAUUUUGACAUUAAGACAUUAAACAUUCCAAUCGGUACCAAUUUUGGGCGUCACGAGGGUGCUAACCCUUCCUCGUGCGUAACCAACUCCCGAACCCGUUUUCUCAAAAAUUCGCAGACCUAAAAUUAUUUUCAAGGUGAUCCGCACACCACAAUAAAAGAUCGGUGGCGACUCCAUUUCCAUUUUCAAAAUUGAUCCCCAUUUUUCAAAUUACAAAAAAAUGGCUUCGACACAUAUAACUUCUCUUUAAUAAUUCACUAUUCUUUGAACAUUCAUUAGUUUUUGAAACAUAAAAUUUAUAAAUAAUUAUUUUUAGAGUAAACUACACCCAUGGUCACUUUUGUUUACCUUAGGUUACAUUUCAGUCACUUAUGUUUGAAAUGUUACGUUUUAGUCACUUAAGUUAUUGUGUUGUAACAUUUUAGUCACUGAGCCGUUAGUUGUCGUUAAUGGCUGACGUGGCACGUUAAAUUAUCAUUUCAAACAAAAACUUUAGGUUAAAUUAUACAAUUGGUUUCCAUAAUUUUUCGUUUUGAGCAAUUUAAUUCUUUUAUGCUCUUUAACUUUCUUUCUUUUUUUUCUUUAUUUUCCAUUCUCUUCUGCUUCUCCCUGUUUUCCUACAUUCUUUAUUUCUUUUAACAUAUCAGGAAGUCGAAUUGGUAGUGAAGAAAGAAGCAUGGUAUGGGUUUAUGGGCUUUGGUUAUGGGCAAAUGAUGACAGUCGACUUCCUACUUCUUUUUUCACUGUCAAUUCGACUUCCUAAUAUGUUAAAAGAAAUGGGAAAAGUAUGAAAACAGAGAGAGAAACAAAAAAGAAUGGAAAAAAAGAGGAAAGUUUAAAGAACAUAAAAGAAAAAAAAUUAAAUUACUUAAAACGAAAAAAAUAUGGGGAUCAAUUGUAUAAUUUAACCUAAAAUUUUGUUUGAAAUGAUGAUUUAACGUGCCACGUCAGCUUACCGUUACACCAUUAACGACGAUUAAUCGCUCAGUGACUAAAAUUUUACAACAUGAUAACAUAAAUGACUAAAACGUAACAUUUUAAACAUAAGUGACUAAAACGUAACCUAAGGUAAAUAAAAGUGACCAUGGGUGUAGUUUACCCUUAUUUUUAAUAUGACUUGAUUUUUACUUGAAUCAUUUUUGUAAUUAGUUAAUUAAAUUGGGUUAUUUUAAAAAAAUCCUCUUAACUAAUAGCCAAAAAAAAAAAAGCCAUCAUGUAGAAAAUUCUGGUUUGUUGGAAAAAUAAAGACUUGACCUAUUACUUUAGAUUUUGAAAUGUUCAACUUGAUAUUGACAUAUGAUAAUAUGUACAAAUUUCUCAUUCUUUUAAAUUUCAGUGAUAUUACAUGUAUGAUAAUAUGUUUGCCACACCAAAUUUGAAAAUAGUAGAACUUAAUGAAUUUAACAGAUAUCUAAAAUAUCAAAUUAAAGUCUAGGAAUUAAAGCUACAACAUCAGUAAAGUACAAGAACUAUGGUAGAAUUAAACCUUUAUAUAAUAAUUUCCUUCUAUGAACCACAAUUCAAGUGCACCCGACAAGCUAAUUAAUAAAAAUUUAGUGGUAGAAUAUGUAUAUUCUUGUGGGUGGAAAUUUAGUGGAGAUGCCCAUCAUCUUUCCUAAUUAAUAAAAAUGAAGACUUAGAAAAUGUGCAAUCAUAAUCCUAGUUGUCGUUAUGGCCCCAAGAAUAGGUAUAUUAAUUUGUCUCUCUUCAGGAUCAAAGAUAAAUAAUAAAUUUUAUAAAGUUAAAACCAUAAUUCUAUAAUUAUAUUAAUGUAUAAUUUCAUAAAAUUUUAAAAAAUGUAUCUUUCAACUUUUUUAAGUAAAUUGAUAAUUCGUUAACUCAUAAUAUUUUUUUUUUCAAAAUAUUUAUGAGAACGAGUUCGUAUUCUAUUGUGUGGAAAAUUUUAGUACAGAUAUUGGUGAAGCCAAAUCCAACUUGUUUGACCAAGAAAGUCUCUGUCGUGUGGAAAAUUUUAGUUUUGUGGAAAAUGGACAUUACCAUUUCCUUGAAUGACCAUCAAUUUCUCCAUUGAGAUAUAGUAAGAGGGAGUGAAAUAUAUAUAAGGUAAUAUUUAAUGUAUUCACACCAAAUUUCAUUAAUGAGUAAAACAAAUAAUGAAUAAUAAUGAAAAUUGGAGGAAAUUGUUAAGAAAAUAUCAUUACAUAUAUCAACACUCACAUAAUUCAUUGUAUUAACUUUCAAAUGUUGACUAUUGACUUCUACAUCAACCUUGAGCUUAUAUAGGCCCCCCUCACGGAAAUAAUCUCACAUUUAAUGCCUAGAGGUGCUUAUGGGCCGGGCCGGGCCCAGAAAAAAUUUUAGCCCGGGCCCGGCUCGGCCCGAAAUAUGGGCCUGAAAUUUUGCCCAAGCCCGGCCCGGUAAAAAAUUCAUAAGCCCGAGCCCGGCCAUUUUUUAAAUAAAUACCAAAAAUUUAUUUUAAAAUUAAAAAAAUUUAAAAAAAGUAUUUUAAAAAUAUUUUAAAUAAAUACCAAAAAUUCACCCUGCAUCUAAAAGGAGGUCCAGCACUCGAAUCCCAUUCCCCAUAACUAAAAACCAUGUCACUGUGACUUGGUCAUAUCUCCGUUCAAAGUCGGACAUGGGUAGUUAAAGAAAAAUGAAGAGUCGAUGCAUGAUAGACUAAGGACUAGCUCAAAAGUGCUUUUAGAAAAAAUUGCUCUUGAAAAGAGGUGUGGAAAAGUGUGCUUGUUAGUUUUUAGUGUUGUUCAUUGCUGCCAAAAAUCGCAAUUGAAAGUUAAAAUGUUCUUUUUAGACAUGAUAGUAGAAAGUAAAAAAUUAGUCAAGUCAUAUGAUUUUUAAAUAAUUUAAUAUAAUGAUACAUGAAAUAUAACUUUUAAAUACCUUUUAAGUAAUUAAUAUAAAUUAGUUGUAAAAUUGAUAAUAUAUAAAAUAUUUUGAAAAAAAUAAAUAUAAUAAUAAAUAAGAUUUAAACAAUUUAAUAUAAUAAUAUAUAAAAUAUAAAUUAAUCUAAUUUUUAUAUACCUUUUAAAUAGUUAAUGAAAAUAAUAGUAUUUUGAUAAUUUUCCCUUUGAAAUGCAAAAGCCAAAAACAGUUUUUGACUACAAAAGCUAUGUGUUGUUCAUCACUUCUGCAGUGGAAAAACACUUCUCCAUGGUGUAAAAACACUUUUACCCAAAAAGGCUUUUUCACCACAGUAGAGAAUGCACCCUAAAAUUGUAAAUAGAAAAAGGAAGAACCAAACAUUGUUUCUACCCUGUUUUUGUCUCCUCUUUGAAAAUACUUUCCAAAAGUUUUAUCAUUUUUUUUUCUGUUUACGAUGCCUUAAAUGCAAAUUCCUUAUAGAAGUGCUUUCUUUUGAUCCACUUGCAUCAUUGUAAUAAGUUUGCAUUGCCUUCUUUCUAUGUUGAUUAUCGUUUAUUAAGUUUUCUGUUGGAUCUUAUAGUCAAAUUCCUUUACAUCAUGUAUGUUAAUUUGCUUAGCCCUGAUAAAUGUUAGAUAUAGGGUUAUCAGCUAAUUAGGAAAGACUGUAAUGAUAGUCACACCUUACAUCCAAAUUUUUACAUUGAGGUUCCUUAUUAUUUUUUCUUGUUUCACCAAUUGCAUCCUAUUUACAGUUCCUUAGCGUUAUCCACUGUGCUAGGGUGGUUCUUGUUCAUAUAUUAAUCACCAUGCGCCUUCAGCAAAUGCAAAGCCAGCCAGCAUCUUCUGAUUUGUCAUUGGAUACUACACUUUCAGCAAAUGUAAAGCCGCCAGAUUUUCAGCUGUUUUUAGAAGGUCAAGACACAACAAGAGCAACAUAUGUUGUAUUCUUGUCAAACAAGAUAAGUUUUCGCAUAUUAACGAUUCUUUUUCCAAGAUGAAUUAUUCUCCUGUUGCAUUUUUAUUUGGGUUCAAAUGUUCUGUGAAGUUAGCUUGCCAGUGCUUGUUUGUUCAUCAGCAUUUACAGCUCAUUUGUCAUUGGUCAGCAGAAUUUCCGCUGUUUUUAGAAGGUCAAGACACAACAAGAUCAGCAUAUGUUGUAUCUAACAUUUAUAUUCAACAACUGGAAACCAUGUCAUAAAUACAUAUGAAAAAUAUUUAAAAAUCCUUGGUUGAAUACUCGUGCACUAACAUUUUUUAAAAGUUAAUUUUGUGUUACUUUUUUCAUCUCUAUUAUUAUAAAAUUUCCUGAUUUACUUGAUAUCACGACUUAAUUUAGCAUUUAAAAAAUGGAAUAUUACAUUCACUAUUUUUUUAAAAAUAGGAGUAACUAUCAAAAUUAAUUAUUUAUAUAAUCUUUUUUAUAAAAACUAUUUAUUUCUACUAAACCACUACUUUAAAACUACCCAUUAUCAUACAACUUCUCUUUAAUAAUUCACUAUUCUUUCAAACAUUCAUUAGUUUUUCAAACAUAAAAUUUAUAAAUAAUUAUUUUUACCUACAUUUUGAAUGAUGCAAUUUCUAACUAUACACUAAAAUACUCCAUUUAUCAAUUUAAUUUAAUUCAAAGAAUUAUGAUAAUAAUUGAAAUUUCAAAAAAGGAAAAAAACUAGAUAAUUGAAUAUUUAUAUACAAAAAUAAAACAAACAAGACAGACUUAAGCUUUCUUACCCCAAAGACAAGAUCUUUAUUCAAAAUGCAAAACUAGCAAAAUACUCCCUAAAAUUCAUCUAAACACAUCUUCUAAAGAUGUAAUACCCAAGAAGAUUGCCCACAGUUGGUGAUGCACUUCCCAACGAAAGAAAACCAAACUCCUCGCCAAUAUGGAUUUAUGUAAAGGAUAGCAACAAUUGUUAACAACAUAACUACAUAAGAAGCCAAAAAGCUCACACAAAAAACAUAUGUGUCUAGAAAACUAUCUUCUCUUUCAUCAUCUGAUAUUGUUGAUAUUGAACCGGUUUUGGAGCAACUUAUAUGAAGUAUAGGUCCACAGAGAAAAGGGUUCCCCUCGUAACUGCUUUCAAUGAAAGUCCCAAAUUGGUUUUGUUCUGGAAUACUACCUGACAAGUUGUUGUGUGCAACACUGAAAACCCCCAGAGAGUUCAAAUCUACCAGCUGGUUUGGGAUUUCACCACUCAAGUUGUUGUAAGAAAGAUCCAAACUCUCAAUCUGCUUAAGUUUUGAGAAUGAUGAAGGUAUAACUCCGACCAACUUAUUGCGUGACAAGUUCAAAGAAUGGAUUUCACGCAAGUUCCCUAAUUCAAGUGGGAUUUGACCAGUUAACUCAUUGCAAGAUAAAUCAAUCCCAGACAUGUAUUCAAGGAUGUCGCCUCCAUAUGAGAAAGAUCCACUCUUUGUGGUAAACUCUACCGAUUCUUUCAUGUAGCUAUAGGAAUGCAUCAUGUGCUCGAAAAGUAUACCCGUCUUUAAUAGUUUCAAUUCAUCCAGUUCUGAAAAUGUUGGCGACAUUAAAUCUGGUGUCAUGGUCUUAUCCUUAUUCAUUGGAAGAGUUAAAUUUCCCAAACAAGAAGGUAUAGGACCGGAAAACCUAUUUUGAGAAAGAUCUAUAAUGCUCAAGGAAUACAAGGUGCAUAACUGGACUGGAAUUCUUCCCUGUAAAUGAUUAGCUUUCAAGAGAAGGACACUCAAAGAAGAAAGUGUGUCGAUCCAUUUUGGAAUACCACCAGUAAAAUUGUUUCCUCUAAGAUCUAAUGUCACUAGUGAAGUGCUUUUAUUAAAAGCAAGUGACAAUGGACCACCCAGUCUAUUAUUGUGCAGGUGGACAUGCUCUAGGUUUGGAGGAUUAAAACAAGAUGGUAUAGAGCCAGAUAAAUUAUUUUCAGAAAGAUCCAAAAAUUUGAAGUUAUUCAAGUUGCAAAAUUCCACUGGAAUAGAACCCUCGACACCAUUGUUAGACAAGUCUAAUCUCUCCAAAAGUGACAUAUUCCCUAUCCAUCUUGGAAGCUUUCCAUGCAAUCUGUUGUUACUGAGAUCAAUAUCUGUUAGUGAUGUUGGAAACUGAAAAGUAGAGACAUCAAAAUUUGUCAUCUCUCCAGAAAAAUUAUUUCCAUCCAAAUAUAAUUUUUGUAACCCAUUUGCAUUGAGAAUCACAGGAACUACAUUUCCAUUGAGGUUGUUGUUUGACAGUCUCAAAAGAAAUAGUGAGCUUUUCCUGACCAACUCUUGAGGUACUUUUCCAGCCAAUUGAUUGUUUGAUAGAUCUAACAUUGACAAAUUCUUCAUGGCGCUUAAACAAGGAGGGAUAUUGCCUUGAAAGGCAUUCUUGGAUAAGAAUAACUGCUCCAAAUGUGGAAAAGUUGAACAUAUAUUGGUUGGAAGCGGACCUUGUAUUUUGUUGUCAGACAUGUCGAUUGAAGAUACAUUUGAAUUAGGAGUCGACAGUAAUGUGAGAGGACCUGUAAAAGAAUUACCCUUCAAGAUGAGAUCUUCUAACUUUGUGUUGUUUUCUAACAACCAAAAUGGGACAGUUCCACUGAAAUUGUUCUGAGAAAGAUCCACAAAUCUCAAGUCAUUUUGGUAGUAAAGGAAGGUAGGAAGUUCAAGACUGAGUUGUUGAGAUGUUCUGCACUUGGACAAACUAAUGAAUUUCAAUUGGAAUUUCGGGACUAAGGUGUGGAAGGAAGGUUCCAUUUCCAACUUGUUUUCAUCAGCCAAGAGGACCUCAAGGUUUGGAAAGUUUGCAAGUGGUACGAAUGAAAUUGGAAUUUGAAAAUGAUUACUUGAAAGAGAAAUGGCUCUGAGUGAUGUAAGACUUGCUAAAGGAGUUAGAUUUCCGGAAAAUCGAUUGUUGGAGAUAUCUAACUCACGAAGAGAUGUCAAGUUACUGAAACAAUGAGGAAGCAUCCCCUCAAGUGCAUUCCAACUCACAUCCAACACUUCAAGGUUCCUUAGAUCACACCAUCCUGAAAAAUUUAUGAAAUCAUGGAAGAAUUUCUAAUUAAAUUUGGUUUUCUAAAACAGAAUAGGAGAAAUCAGAUAAAGAAAAGGUCGUAUAGAAAAUUUUACCGUGAUCAGGUAAGGAACCAAUAAGUGCACACCUAUAUAGAGACAAAGUUUGAAGAGAAGUGAAUACUCCAAUGCUUUGCAAAAUGUUGAUGUUGAGACGAGAAUAAUCGAGAUUUAUUUCCUCCAAGUUGCUUAAUUCUAAUCAAUGAAAAGAGGUAGUAGGUGUUAAUGAAACGUAAGUUGUUUUGGAAUAGAAGAAGUAUUAGAUGUUAAUCAAGAAAAGGUGUUUACCUGAUGAGAAAGCCUCUACUAAGUUUUCUAGCGGAAUGCUAUCGUCGGUGACAAUACUUUGGAGACGAAGAACUUUUAACUUUUUCAAUCCCUUGUUUUCUGUGAGCGAAAAUAUUUUGAUAAAAAUUGUGAAAACUUCAACAUGAUUGCACUAAUUGUUUUUCUUUUCUUUCUAGCAUUUUAAGAUAAAUAAUGUGUAAAAUAGAAUUUUCCUUUAUUGAGAUCAUUAUAUUACUUUAAAUUUAUCACCACUAAAUAGAAAAUUAUUAUUAAAUCAAAGUUUUAAAUUUAUUAUUACUUAAAUGUUGUUUAUGCUGGGUGAUUUUGAUGAGAAUAAUUUAUUAUAUAAAAAUAAAAGUAUAUUUCUUAAAGUAAAAUAAGAGAAAUAUUUUAAAUUUUUUUGAAAGUGUUUAUAUACAUAUUACACUUAAUCACUCUUUUGAAAAUUCUAAUUACUCUUUUAAAUUUUAUGUUAAUUUUAAAAAGUAUAUAUAAUUUCAACAGAAAUAUUACUUUAAUAUUAAAAUGAAGAGCUUUUGUGGGUAAAAAAAAUUAUAUGAGUUUAUUUAAUUACAAAAAUAAUUUAAGAAUUUAUUUAAAAAAUAUGUAGUUGUUUUAGGCUCGAUCCUAGGGGUUAUUUGAGAGUGCGGUCGCCCAGGGCUGGAAGGGGCCCAAUUUUUUUUUCAGAUUUUAAUAUGGGAAAAUAUUCAGACUAAAAUAAAUAAAUAAAUUGCCUAGAGCUUUCAAAUUUUCACCAUAAAUACUUCAUCUCCUAUGGCUAAAAAAUUUUUCAGCUUUUAUUGUAUUACAUUUUAUAAUAUUUUUAAAAAGACUCGUUUAAAGACUUUUUUAAGUAUAUUAACCUAUUUUAAAAUUCCACAUUUUUAAAAUGUCUUAAUUUUCAAAUUAAAGUACAAACACACUAUAAUCCACAAGCCUUAAUUGCCAUGUCAACAUAAACCACCAUUUAGAAGAUUGUUUUCAUUUUUUAAAAAAUAAAAAAAAAUUAUUUAAAUGAUACCUUUGUGGACCACAAAGCCUCUCAAUUGAUUCCCACUCAUAUCUAGUUUCUGUAAGUUAGUAAAUGCAUCCAAAUCUGGGAAAGAAACAGAUAAGCUUCAUUAAAUCAUUCCAAAACAUGAUUAAUAUUUUUGUCUAUAGAGGCAUAAUUUGUCAAAAAAUAAUAAUUUUACCUUUCAUAUCUAUUAAUCCAUUCAAUUGAUUGAAACCUAUGCUCAAAGAUUUCAGAUUUGAAAGCUUGUUUAGAGUUGCAAAUACACUGUUAUUGAAGAGAUUUGCUUCUAAAUUAAGCUCUUCUAAAUGGGUUAACUCCAAUUUCUUACCUUCAUCUACAAAAGAUUUAACGUAAUUUCAUCAAUGAAAAAAAUGAUAUAAAUUUAAUUAUGUGUAAUAAAUUAUUUAACUGAACCCUAAAUUGUGGGUUAAUGGUUCAAGUGUUCGAAUUAUCAUUGUGUAAAAAAAACAAACUUAAUUAACGGACCAAAAUAUAAAUACAUACCUUUGAAGGAUUGAAAGUUUACCAUUUGAUUCCACCUUAAAUCCAACGUCUUCAAAAUUUUCAAAUUAUUCAAUCCUAUAUAUACUCAAGUUGAACAAAUAUUUUAAUAACUUGGCUGAAGUGAAAAGGGUAAAAGUAAGGAAGUUGAAAAAUCCCCAAAAGUGAAAGUACUAAUUUGAAACAAAUAAUUAUAAAGGGUCCUACAUAAGUAAGGACUUUAUGCUUGAAAGCCUUCAAGGAAGGAAAAUGUGUGGUUUCCAUGGGAUCUAAUUAUAAUCCUUGUUUGCUGGAUUCCACCUUUUUUAUUUGGCCAACAAAAAAUAAAUAAAUAAUAUAAAAAAAUUGUGAUUACUAAGGCUUCAACCUUGAAGUUUAAAUAGAAUUAUUCAAUCCCAAAAAUUGACCAAAAAUUUCCCUCAAACAAAACUUAACUUUAAAGUAGAAACAAAACCAGAGAAAGGCAAUCUACCUUGAAUAUGAGGCCACUUUCCUUCUAAUAGGUUGUAAGCUAGAUUUAAAUAUUGGAGAGAUGAAAAUUGGCUCAAAGAUAAUAUAAAGCUAUCAUUCAGAUGAUUUUGACUUAAGUCAAGGAACUGCAGAUUUCUGAAUGUGGAUGAUAGCUUUUCAAAACCUGCAGAGUUAAUAAUAACAAGUAAUCGCAAAAUUAACAGUAAGUUGUGUUGAAAAUAUGUGUACAUAAUAGAGUAACUAAAGAUGAAAUGAAGGGCAAAUCAAAUAUAGAACCUUCAUUUUCAACACAACCGGCUAUGCCACUCCCUGUCAAAUAAAGCCUCUUUAAUUCCUUGAAGGGAAGAAACAAAGAGGCAUUCAGAUACCAAUAAUCCAAGUAUCCGGACCUCAUAGAAUCAAGAGAGAGUCCAAUGAGUCUCCCAGUGGUGGUGUUGCACUCAAUCCCUUUCCAUUUACAACAAUCUGAACCUUUAACCUCGUCCCAGCUGUCGAACUCAUUAUAGUGAUUGAAGAAAGGUUUGAGUUGCAAGAGAGCAACUCUCUCAUGCUCCACACAAGCAUCAAUAGUGCACCACCUGCAUCCUUCUAACAGUAGCAGCACACUCAUCACUGCCAUCCUCAUAAACCACAACCAUUUGGAGUCCAUCAUCUCUCUGUUUUUGCUUCUCUCUCAAUUGUAUGCUACUUCAAACUUCUAUUGCAUUAGCCUUCAUGAAACUUGUUAUUUAAAGACAAGGACCUAAGGCUGAAGGCAACCCACUAGUCCACGCUGAAAUAGUCCACUGAAUGUGACGAUAUAUAGGCCCUACAAAGUGUGGUUGUGGAAAUAAUCUAAACACCUAUCCUCCAAAUUAAUACUAUUCCUUGAGAAAUUAUUAAAGGUCAAUUUCUGGUUUUAGUCCCUACGCAAAAUUCAUUUUGAAGGUUUAGUUUUUAUAUAAUUUAAGAUCAAAUUUUUAUAAUUAAAUUAUCAUUUACGUCUGCUUUAAAAUUAUGAAAAAAAUAUUUUAAAAAUAUAACGAACUCCAGCUACAGCUUCAAAAUAUGAUGAAGAUGUUUUAGUAGAAUAAAUCGCAGAAUCCGCCAUCUUUGACUUUUGUUUUCUUAUUGUGAGAAUAUCUUAACAUUAUAACUUUUGAAUAUAUUUUGUUAUUUCAGUUAUUAAUUUAGAUCAUAUACAAAUUUCUUUCGUGAUAGUCUCAUUUAGAUUUGAAGUUUGUUGUUGGAUUUGAAGUUACAGGAAAAUAUGUUGAAAAUUUGGGUUUAAUAUUAAAUAAAAUGGGUUGGUAAAAUCUAUUAAUGUUAGUGGCGUUUUCCCACAAAUGCCACUAUAGAACAUGAUCUUUAGCUGCGCUUUUACUACAAACAUUGCUAAAAAACAUGAUUUUUUGUGGUACUUCUAGCUAUAAAUGCCACAACAUGCUUGACUCUUUUAUAGUGUUUUUCCAAAUGAACGCCGCAAAUUUUAGCGGCGCUAUCUAAAGCGACUUUUUACUGGCACUUAUCAAAGCGCCGCAAUCUGUUUUAGCGGCACUUAUAAGCACCGCCAUAGGGCCAAAAAAACACCGCUAAAAACCUAUUUUGCUGUAGUGAUUUACGCAUUUAUAAGCCUACAAAAUAAUCACGGAUUCAAUUUUAGAGUCCGUUAUCAGCCCCUAAUCGGGACAUCAAAUUGACCAAAAAGGGCCCACAUGACCUACCUGUUCAACUUGUGUAAUUGCACACGCCUAAGUGCUCCACACGGCCUGGCACACGGCCAACUACACAUCAAUGUGGUGCACAUGAACUUGUGACGCAGAGUAGCUUUGAAAAUUGUAACCUCCCAAACCCGGCCUAGAUGUUAUGACUAGAUUGAGAAGGCUACAAUAGCCACCGAAAUGGCUAAGCUAACUUACGUUACUUUUGAAGACCUUAAAUAAACUCAUUUUAGAGAAAACCGUAGUUGUACUUUGAGUUAGCUUAAAAGCAUUCAUUCAUUAGGUCGUGUAUACUUAGGAUUCAUUUUAUUGUUGAUAGUGUUGUUUUACAAAAAUAGUUUGCUUAUCGCUCUUCUUUUAAAAAAAACUCGAUGGUAAACUAAUGUGCGGAAAAACCAUUUUUCAAGUCAUUUUGGAAACUUAGUUGCCUUAACGAUUUGUUUUUCAGAAACAAUUCCUUUUUAAUGCAGCGGAAACUAGGGAACAAUAUCAAAUUUUACUUAAGCUCGAUAUCAUGCAUUAUUCAGUUAUUAUGCUUGAGUAAUCCAUGCAUGCAAAAAUCCCAAAAGAAAAGUUACUAAGCCACAAACCACAAGUCAUUAAAAAUUACAAACCAAAACUAAUAGAAUCUGAUUAAUACUUUUUAAAAAUAGUCCGAGGUCCAAGGUGAUUCUUCGAAUGCCAAGUCCGAUCCUAAUUUUGAGGUUUACACAUUCAUUUGACAUACUCAGCACGUCCUCAAUAAUCACAUACUUUUAGUAAAUGAAAACAAUGUUCCAAACUUUCAAAUUACCAUUGUGUUGGUAUUAAUCAAUAUCGUUCAAUUUCGCAUACUUUAUGAAUUUUGAUUAUGCAUAAAUAGCACCCUAUACAACAUAUAUGUAUAUAAUAUAUGCCAAGAAAAUUUAGAAAUACAAUAAAUCAACCUAAAUGAAAUCAUUCAUCAUCAUUUUUCAAGAUUUUAAAUUAUAUUUUCUCAUUCCCAUUGUCAGUGUAUUUCAACUUGUAAACAAAGAUGAUGGCUACUAUAAAUGGAAUCAUUGAUAUAUCAUGAUAUUUGAAUUUGACAACUAUUUUUAUACAUUUUAUUACCAAAAGUAAGGGUAUUAAUUUUUUAAUGUUUAAUUGUGGUUUAGAGUUAAUUUAUUUAAAGUUAAUUGUUAAUAUUAUUAAAUUCAAAUUUUCGUAAUUGUAUUAAUAGAAUAAAUUUAGUGUUAAAAGUGAGUUUAUUCAAUUUUAUAUUUAAUUUGUUAAAUGUAAUCUAAUGAUUUUUUUGUGCUCUAGUGUUGAUUUAAUUAAAGUUAAUUAUUAAUAUUAUUAGGUAACUAUGAGUUCUCAUCAAAUUAAUCCUAAAAUUCAAAUUAAAUGCUAAAAAAUUAACAUUAUUACUUUUAAAUAUCAAAAUGUAUAAAUUUUAUUAAAUAUAGAUACUAAAUCAAACAAAAAUUAUAAAUUUUGAGUCGUUGCAAAUUUUUCCAACAUUUUUGGGGUCUUGAAUUUGAUAUGCAAAAAGUUGGUGGGAAUUUUAAGUCAGCAAAUCCUUUAAAAGGGCAAUGACAUAAUUAAUUGCAUUACUUUAAUGGUUGAAUUUUCAUAGCUAAUAUGUAUGCAAAAAGUUGGUGUGAAUUUUAAGUCAGCAAAUCCUUUAAAAGGACAAUGACAUAAUUAAUUGCAUUACUUUUCAAAGAUCGACUACUGACUUUGGUGAACUUAUUUAUAGAAGGUUAAAUUCUGCUGUUGGUCACUGUACUUUACGAAAGUUGUGAAUUUAGUCUCUAAACUUCAAUUUGAUCAAUUUUAGUCUCUAUACCUUUUGAAUUUUGAAAUUUUAGUUCUAACCCAAACAGUAGCAGUUAUCAAUUUGAUUAAAUUCUAUUACUAUCGAUUUAGUCCAAACUUUCUGAAUUUUGAAAUUUUAGUCUUGAUGCAAAUGACAAUCACUGGUCUAUUAAUUGGAUUUUUAGUAAAUAAUAUGUGAAAAUAACAAGUUUGUUGACACCAUUUUUUUGAUAAAAAUGGGGUCGACUUAGAUUUUGAAAAUAAAAACGAAAAUGGGAGUCGCCACCGAUCCUUUUUGAUAAGGUGUGAUCGGGUCACCUCAAAAAGUGAUUGUUUUUAAUAAGCGAUUUGAUUUUAUUAAAACAACGAUUUUAGUCCACGAAAUUUAAAAAAAUGGGUUCGGGAGUCGGUUACGUUCAAGGAAGGAUUAGCACCCUCGUAACGCCCAAAAUUGGUACCUAGUUGAUUAAUUAAUAUCUUAAUGUCGAGAAUUGAAAACUCGAAAAGAAUUUAAAAUACAAUCAUUCCUUUUUAUUAAUGUUAAAUUUAUAAACGAUGCUUGGAUAAAUCGAGGUGGAUGCUAAAGACCUUCUUGUCUCAGAGUAAAUAAAAUGUCAAUCCAGUACGUUAGGACACAACAUUUUAAAUCCUCGAGAACAAGCUUAUCUUUUUAUUUUCAAAACUCGUGCAUUUAAAUUUCAAAAGGAUAUUCGAUUAUUUGGAUCAAAGGAGAUAAAUCGAAACCCAGUGAGUUAGGGCACGAUCAUUCAAAUUUCCCAAAUACAGAAUAUCACUUUUAUUAUUUUUUUAGGAAAAUCCUCAUCUCGGGAAAACAACAUGUCAUAUCCAAUGCGUUAGGACACAACGUAUUAGAACCCAAUACGUUAGGGCUCAAUCUUCUCGAAGAUCCAAAAUACCGAGUAUUACCCUUAUUUUCAAAAUUUUCUCUUUAUUACGAAUUUGAGUAAAAAUUGUAAAUGACAGAAUAACAAUUAUGAUAAUGUAAAUAAAUAAAUAAAUGAAUAGAAUGAAAAAAAGUAAAAAAGACAUAUAUGUAUGUGCAUAUAUAUAUAUAUAAAUUAUAAAAAAUAUAUAUGAUAUUAUAAAAAUGUAUGCAUGUAUAUAUAUUAAAAGUAUAUGUAUAUGUGUAUUUCGAAAGUAUAAAGUAUAUAAGAUAUAUAUAUGUAUAUGUUUAUAAAUUAUAAAAUAUAAAACAUAUAAGUACGUAUAUAUAUAUAAAUGAAUCAUGAAAUGCACGUGUAUAUAUGUAUAUAUUAGAAAAUGUAUGAAUAUAUAACAAAAUUUGGAAUUAAGGAUGUAAAUGAGUGAAUAAUAAUAACAAUGAAUUAAAAUACAAAAUCAAUGAUGCCAUACAAUAGUAUUAAUAAUAUCAAAAUAAUUAAUUUAAUGAUAAAAUAACUAAAACAACAAAUAGAGGAUUAAAUUAGAAACUAAACUAAAAUUUGGGGUCAAAUAAAAAUAACUUAAAGAGGGUGACUCGGGACUAAAACAAAAUGCGCUGAAGGAGCAAGGGACUUCCAGGGAAAUAUUCCCUAGUCCUGAAACGCAGCACUUCAGCAAGGAUUAAAAUGAAAUCAGAAAAAAAUUUAUGGGCCAAAAUGAAAGAAACAAAAGGGACAAAUUGCACUGAACUAUAAAAGAGGAGGGGCUGAACGCGCAAAUAGCCCCUCCAGGCAUAACACGCGGAUCCUGACCGCAUUCGGGUCGGGUCUCGGAUCGGCUCCUGGGUUUUAUGCCAAACGGUGCUGUUUUGGCCAUGGAUGCUAAGGUCCAAAACGUCGCCGUUUUUAAACUAUAUAAACACUCAAAAAAUCAACAAAAAAAAAAUUCAUCCCUUAUUUUUUUCAAAAAAACUGAGAGUCUCCCUAACUCUCUCUCAACCCCCAUCCCUCAUAUUCGGCCGACGACCUUCUUAGGCCUCCGUCGCGCCACCUCGUAGCCGGAGGUCGGCGCCGGAAAUGAAAGGCCAUUAAACCCCUUUUGUGGAGUCCUUGAGAGCCAGGCUCUCUCAACCCGCGAGGAGUGAAACAAAAGGGGGACCCUCGACCUUGGCAGACCCGACUCAACGAUGGAGGAGAGAGCCUCUGGCGGCACAGUCACGGCCAACUCCAGUGAGUCACCCUUCCCUUUUUGUCCUUUCUUUUAGUACUAGUUUUAAAAUCAGAUUUUUUAAAAAAAUGAUAAAUAAAAUAAGUAAAUAAUUCAAAAAAAAAGAAUCGGAGAAGACAGCAACCUUUGUUUCUAUUUCUGAAAUUCGUAAAAAAAUGACAGACGAAGAAUACAAUGUUAAGAUUUUGGCCUUUAUAGCCGAUUUAAAAACCCCUAAAUUUUUAUUUUUUGUCGUUUUGUUGUUUGGCCUGUUCUGCUGUUGCGUGUGGUUUACUGCCUUGCAGGUGUCAGAGGCUGACGGUCGGUGAUAGGCGAGUAACGGCCUGCGUGAGGAGUGGCAGAGGAGGCAGAACAUGCGGCGCUGGGCAUUGGGCAGAGGCGUGCGGCGCUUUGGGGUUUGCUCUUGGCUGAAAUUGUUUAAGUUGUGGGGCAGUCGAGCCACUAGGGUUUUUUUUUAUUGGGACGUUUGGGCCAUUGUAAUUUUGGGUUUAAGUUUGCUGUAAAUGGACUGGAAUAGUUUUUAUUUUUUAGGCCCGGGCCAAAAUUGGGCCUUACAAAGUCGAUAUGACAUUACACAAAUGAUAAUAUGUUUGUCACACCAAAUUUUAGAGAUAGCAGAACUUAAUGAAUUUAACAAAUAUCGUUUACGGUGAUUGAAAUCUUAAAAUUUGAAAAGUACAAUAACUAAAAUAUCAAAUUAACUUAUAGGGAUUAAAUCCACAACUUCAAUAAAAUACAGGAAUUAAUGGUAGAAUUUAACCUUUAUAUAAUAAUUUCCUUGGUGAAAAAAACGCACAUUAUCAUUUCCUUGAAUGAACUUCAAUUUGUCCAUUGAGAUAUAAUCGGAGGGAGUGGAAUAUAUAUAAGAUAAUAUUUGAUGUAUUCGGUAAAUGGAGAAUAUUAAAUAGAGUGAGCAAGCCAUUCGCCUCACGGAACACAUUAACGAAAGACACAAGCUUAAUACAGUCACUAAAUCCAUCAAUUUCAUUAACAACCUGCUAAUAAUUCAAGACAAUUGUUGGGUCCGGAUGGAUUAUAUUUUAAAAUUUUCUUUCAAAAUACAGAAGUUCCUUUGACAAAAAUGAAAAUAUUAUUUAAUUAUAGGGUUAGUAAUUAGUACACUGAUAAUCUACUUAAUGCUAUUGAUUUUUUUUUAAUAUUAUACAACACCUUUAUAAAACACGUGUCAACCCUCUGACUCUGCUUAUGAAAUUUAAAAACUUCAAUGACAAUGUACCAACUAUUAUUCUUAAUUAUUAUACUAUUCAUGAUUUAAGGACAAAGAUCAAAUACAAUAUUUGCUUAAAAAUCUCUAAUAUAUAUGUAUAUAUAUAUAUAUAUAUAUAUAUACAUUUGCUCACUUAUUGUGAUGUAAUAUAGCACCAUCCAGCUAACCCUAGCUUUCUAGCAAGUAGUCGGAGGAAAUUAUUGAGAAAAUAUCAUUAAAUAUAUCAACAAUAAUUGCACUAACUUUCCGAUGUUAACUACUGACCUUUGCGUCAACCUUGAGCUUAUAUAGGCCCCCUACAAUAAUUUAGGCUAUGGAAAUAAUCUUACAAUUAAUGCCUGAGAAAUAAUUAUAGAUCAAUUUAUAGUUUUAAUCCCUAUAAUUACUCAAUUGAAUUAAAAAUUUUGUUAUUCUUAUUUAAUUUAAUUUGAUAUAUUCUGUUCCUCUUAUUAAUGUUAAUGUUUAGAGUCCCCGCUUGUACAUUGGUGAUUAGGUCUCUCACCAUUAAAUUAUUCUCUUAAGAACCUAACCUGCAAAUUCAUAACAUAAAAAAUUUACAGUCAAAUGUAAUCACACAAAUGACAUUCCUCACUUAAACAGAUUAAGUCGUUGCAAAUAUCUAAACAUAAUCAAAGUCGUCGUUAUGGCCCCAAGAGAAGGCACGUUAACUUGUCUCUCUCACACAUAGGAUGAAAUUAGUCUAAACCUAACCUUGGUAGAGCCGACCAUGUCGGGCAGACCACCCUACAUAAAUCUGAUUAUUUUAUCAUAGUUUAUUCAUCACUGAAGGAAGUAUGCAAAAUUAGGCAUACCAUUUAUCCUCACCUCUCUCGCUGACAAAAGAUUCAUGUUAAGUAUAUUCACCCUACAUAAAUUAUCAAGAGGAAUCACAGAUUUAAGGACCGUGGAAAAGAAUUCCAGAACCAGUUAUAUACAAGCAGGGCCUAUGACAUCCCCACUAAUUCUCAAUCAUAUAAAAUAAUAUAUAAUUAAUUCGUCUGGAAUGUUUAAGGCAUGGUGGUGAAUAUAUCAUGAGCGAUGUUGCUGAGUUUCUUCUGAAGAAUUGGCUAGCUAUUAGUGUCUAAAGGAUCUUUAGUUAUAUGGGGCUUAUGUUUCGGUUGCUUGAACAAUUGCUUUUCAGAGGGCAGAAUAGUAGAGGGGGGUUUUGGGGGUCUGGUGGUAUGGAGUUAUGAUGUUAUCAAUAUGAGAUUUUGGUGAUUUGUACUUGAUAAAGGGACACUUUUCGUGAGGGAUUGCUACAUUUUGCAGAUUAUAACAUUGUUUACAAGUGCUUAAAAUGUGUAAUAAUUUGAUCGAGAGAAAAAAUGACCAAAACAAAUGUUCUCAGCAUUUUUGCUUCAUUUAGAACUUGUAAUUAAUUUUUUUUAUCAGAGAAGUUGUAAUUAAUUGGAUUUGGAAUGAAUUGAUAAUAUCCUUACUAUUUCACCUUUUUUAUAUGUUUGGCGUGUGAGUAUGAUACAGAUUGAACUGGUUUUUAAAGUAGAAAUAAAACGAUAACAAACCAAAACAUUCUGGUUUUCAAAAUUUUGAAUCCAAAUCAAUCGAAUUAGUUUAAUUAUAAUUGAAUGUUUUAUGUGUUAUGAUGAUGAAGGAAGUUGAUGAGGUGACUUGCUUCAUCUUUCAAAAUAUGAGGUUCGUUUGAAGUUCUCUUUGACACAUCUUUACUAUUGUUUUUUAAUAACAAAUGAAAAGUCAAUUUAAAAAACAAAAAUCCAAACCAAUGAAUUUCUUUUAUACAUAUAAGAUAAGCUUACUGCAAAGCUCUUGUUUUUUCAAAAUAAAAUUUUGUUUUUGUUUUAUUAAUUUUGUAUGAAUCAAAUGAAGUUUAAUUUUUUUAAGGGUAAAUUAAACCAACAGUAACUCAACUUUGAUGCAGCUGACAAAAUAGUUGAUUUGGUUUCAAUUCAGUCACUCAACUUUCAAAAAAUAACAAAUCAGUCACUAACGUUACCAAAAAGUGACAAAUCAAUCACCCAUUAACAUUUUCCGUUACAGACCUAACGGGACAGGUGACAUGGCUAGUUAACUUGCCACGUUGACAUGGCAAUGCAUUUAAAAUUGGUCUAAUUAAGAAUUUGGUCAUUGUACAUUAUGAAAACAUAAAAAUUAUUUCAAUUGAGUAUCAAUAUUAAAUCUUGUCCAUUGACCCAAAAAUCAUCAUUUCAACAAAUUGUAUGUAAGAAAUUAGUGAAAAUCAACAAUUCAGUAAUUUAUAUCAAAAUUGAGGACUAGCUUUUCAUUUUUUUGUAAAUUACAUGGAUGACAUUCACAAUUAGACCUAAAUAGUGACAAAUUACAAAUUUAAACCCUAAAUACCUUUGUUCAGAGGAUCCGUAGCCAACAGAAUCAAUAAAACCGAUGGAGAUGAAACUCAUGCAUUUGGCGUGAAGAUGAAACUGGACAGAGUAGAACUCGCAUUGUUCGUCACCGUUGCAGGUGUCACAGUCACACGAGAAUCGCAUCGACAUGGCGCGUCGGCUAGUGAGAGGGAUUAGAUCAAGUCGAUGGGCAAUGAACUUGUCGUUGACGACGGAAGAGUUAACUUCAAUUUUGACGAGGUCGAUGGCUAUGUUGGGAACCUCGGCUAUCAUGACACGAUGGAGGGCAUUGGCCAUGGAGGCGUUGGUGUCAUGGCAGCAUAGUUGUCUUUGAGUUCUCGGAUUUUGACCCUUGGGAAUCGCUAGUAUGAAGCUCCUUCCAUUUUCUCUUCUUCUCCAUUUCUUCUCUUCUUCUUCUUCUUCUUCUUCUUCUACUGCCCAAGGCUCUUAAAUGGGGUUGUUUAAAUGACAGCUAGCCUACCGUUAAAUGUCAUGUCACUUUUCUGUUACAAACGUAACGGAAAAUGGUUAAAAAGAUUGAUUUGUUAUUUUUCAAAAAUUAAGUGAUUGAAUUGGAACUAGAGUGACUGUUUUGUCAAUUGCAUCAAAGUUGAGUGAUUGUUGUUGCAAUUUACCCCUUUUUUUUUAAUAGAGAUAAGCUUUGUGGUGGAAAUUUGUUAGGAAAGGAUGAUUGUAGGAAUGGUCCACAAAAUUAAUUGCAUUCCCUUUUCUUGAUGAAUUCUUAUCUUUGGGUCAACUCUUAGCUUAAAUACACUGCUAAAUUUAUUUUAGGUUGUACAAUAUAAAUGGAGCAAUUGAUGUCAGGAGAUAAGUUGGAAGUACAAUUAAAUUUUUUCAUAAGAGGAGAUGGGAUGAGAAGAUUUGAACCCAACAAUUAUUGGAAUUUAGAUUAUAAAAUUGGCGUGAAAUCAUGAAUUUAGAUUAUAAAAUUCUUUCCAUUUUAAUAAUCAUUUUAGAACUAGUUUGGUUUCCAAUCUAUAUUUUGUGUUGUGUUUUGUUUAUGUCAAAUUUUAAAGUAAAACUUUGAAAGUUAAAAUACAUUCUAAGUCCCUAUACACUUUGUACUUUUAGAAUUUAGUUCUCCUAGUUUUUAUUUUUAUGAAUUUAGUCUUUCUAUUUUUUGGUUUUCAAAAUUCAAGUCCCCAAUUAUUUUCACUGUUAAAAUUCUUCUAUUAAACUCACUAGUGUCACCUUUUGAAAUUACCAAAAAAAAAAUCAUUUUGUAGUCAUGUAAUAAUAAAGAAUAACGUUAAAAAUAAUGAUGUGGAUUUUUAUUUAAAAUACUCAUCCAAACUGAUCAUGAUAAAAUGACUUUUUUUUUUGUUGGAAUAGUGUUUUUAAGAAAAAUUGACGUCAAUAUUUUGAUUGGAAUAGUUUACAAUGUUAAUUAUUUAGACUAACUAAUGACAUUACAAAAAUAAAAUAAUGAAAUUAUGCCAAAAAUUAAGGAAUAUAAAUUAAAUCUCAAGUUUUAACAUAAUAUAGGGGCUAAUACUAAAAUUUGACCAUUAAUUUCCAUGUAAUAUAAAAUAAAAAUAAAAAAGUUGUGUGAAGCAGCCCAAGCUUAUGACAGAAAAAAAAAAACACGGCCCAAAGCUAAGGUUACGUGUUAGAAAGGGAAUGUCAUGAUAGGGGUGAGUAUUCGAUCAAGUCGAGUUAAAUUGAGUCAAAAAAGUUUAAGUUAGUCGAGUUUACGAAUCCUAUUUUAGUAACCGAACUCAAUUUGAAUUUUUUUUCUGAAUCAUAUUGAGUCAAAAAGUUUCGAGUCAAGUUGAGUCGAGCUAAAGAAUCCUAUUAUUUAUACUCAAAACUUAUAUUUACAUGGACCGAUUAUUUAACUAGUAGAUGAAGUACAAGAUUAUUUAACUACAUAAACAAUAUAAUGGUUUUGCCUUUUAACUUAAUGAGUAAAUAUUUAUCAAAACGAUAUAGUUUUGUCUUUUAAUUUAAUAGUUUUGACUUUUAACUUUGGAAAAGAUAAAUUCAGAUUUUCAGAUAACUCGAAUUGUGUAAUUCAUAUUCAAGUUGAAUAUAAAAACUUAAUUUUUUUAUUCGGGUUGAUCCGAAUAACUUGAUUAACUCAAAUAACUCGAACUAUUUAAUUCAAAAUUUAAAAUUUUUAUCAAAAUUUUCAGAUCAAAUCGAAUUUUGCUCACCCCUAGUAUUGGACAUUAUUUUUAUAUACGGGUGUAUAUAUAUGUGUGCGUGUGUGUGUUUGAUGUGAUUUCCUUGUGAGUUCCAUCUAUUUUUAGAAGUUUUUCCACGUAAAAUAUGUGUAUUUAAUAUUUUCAAUUCUUUUAUUAUUCUACUUGCUCGUUGCAAAUACGUUUGAUUCACAACAUUUUAACCUAAACUUAAUUGUAAAUGAUAAGAGAUAUUUUACGAUUAAAUAAAAAAAUUUAAACCACUAAACCAUUACCCUAAUAUGUCAAAACACAUGCAUUUUUUAAUUUCAAAAUUUAUGAAUUCCGAAGUAAAGAGCAUACGAUAUUUAUAUUAAUGUAAGAAAUGUAGGCUUGCUAAGUUUCGCAAAAUCAUAUUACACUUUUAAUUGAAUAUAAUGGUGGGAUGAUUCAAUUAUUAAAAACUAAGUUCGGGCAAAAAUGUAAAAAUAAUCUAAAAUUAAUUGAAUUAUUAUAAUAAAUUUAUAUAACUUAUGGAGUGAACCAAAUCAUGACAUAAUAUCAAAAAUAAUUAAGACAUGUCAUAUUACAAAUAAUAAAAACUCAACUUUAUAAGCAUAUCAAAAUUUAUUAUCAUGGCGUAUAAUAUGUUAUGAAAAAAGAAAAAAGAAAAAAGAAAAAAGAAAAAGAAGAGAGACAAUCGCUUCAUCAUGAGAUAUAAGCCCUUGAAACCAAAAGUUAGUUGAAGCUGUUAGGAUCGACUCAAUUAAGCAACAAGUAACAAAAAAUAGUGGAGUAAAUUGAGAAAUUGAACACACAAAUUUAACGUGGAAAACCCCUCCAAAGAGGAUAAAAACCACGGGCAAAAAUAAUUUUACUAUAAUGACAAAAGAAUGAAGAGUACAAAAGAUGGAGAUAAAAAGCUAAACCCCAAAAAACCCCAAAAACAAAGAACCCUCAAAACGUAAACACAAUGUAACGCCCCAGAAUUUUUAUUUUUGUUCUUGCAAAGGUAUAACACAAUUGUGUAUCUACUUUAGUGGUUAAGUGUUUUGGGUGUAUGAGAGGUCUCAAGUUCAAGCCAAGACUUGGCGAAAUUUUGGUAUUUUUAUGAAUAAGCUCUAUCUUUGGUCAGUAGGCUUUUAAGUAAGAGUCGACAAAUAAUUAAAAGAAUGAGCUUGUUCGUUUGGUGGAUAAGUGGAGUGUUGGUGUGAAGGAGGUUUUGUGUUCAAUUCUCUAUGGUGGCAUGGAGAUAGUAUUUUUGCUCCAAUUUUGGCUAAGAGUUGUGUUUGGGCAAAAUUCUGAGUAGUUGUGUUUUAGUGGGUUAAUAGGGAGUGAUUUUUGGAAAUAAUGGGGGAGAGGUUAUCAGAAAAUAAUCUGAUUGUCUUUUUAUUGCAUAAAAAAAGUAGAGUUUCGGUUUUCUCUCCAAUUACCCAAACUUUUUCUGACGUUUUCUUCUUUUUUUUCCCUCCGCUGUCGAUUCUUUCCCCUAGUUGUUGCCAAAAUUUCCAUUAUUUUUUCCCCUUCCAUUUCUUUCUUUUAUUUUCCAAUUGAUUUGGUUGUUUAUCGUUGGUUGCGUGUGUUCGGUAAGUAACGGUUUUGUCUAUUGUUAAUUGUUCUUAGUUAAUCUCUGAAAGGGGGAUUCCUUUUUGGUGUUUCGGAGUUAAUCAAGGGGCUAGUGGUUAUGAAUCGAUGCUGUGAUUGUGUGAAGUCAUGAUUACUCAAGCGAGGUAAGGGUUUUGUUAGGUUUUUAGUUGAGUUCCUUCCAAAAUUGGUUAAUUAAAAAUGAAUUAAGUGAUUAAUCUGGAGAUUUGUUGGUCGAUUUUUAGGUUAUGGAGGCUUAGGAGUGCUUACGCAUUAGAAAUGAUACCAGGUGUGUACCCGAAAAGCAGAAAAUGAGAUUCGGCGAAAAGCAUAAAUUGCUUGCUAUUUGGACAGCAGCAGUGGGCUAACUUUAAAAAAUCAUCAUAAAUUGUGAAAAUUGAAUUAAAGGAUGAAAAAAGUAUGGAAUUAAAUAUUAUUGAGUCUAGUUUCUCAUAGAGAAAUGGUGUAAGUAAUGGAAUUGUAAAUCGUGAGAUAUAAUAAAUUUUGUGAGACAAGGUCAGAAUGAAUUCAGGUUUCCCUUUUUUGACUUUGGAAAAUCAUUAAAAAUUGUAUAAAAAUGAUUAUGGGUUAAAAUUUAUAUGAUUAAAAUUCUUAAUGAGUAUAUUUUCAAGAGAAACAAACCUUAACAUCAUCUGAAUCUCGUACUAAGAGAUAAUUAAUUUUUAGAGAAGAAGGGUCGAAAUUAUCAGACAGCAGAACAGGGACAAUUUUGAAGAAUUAACUGUACUCAUUGGCUAAACCAAAAAUUCUAAAAAUUUUAAGGUAAGAAGAUAUGUGAGUCUGUUUUUCGGGAAAAUCAAGCGGAUCUUAAUUUUGAAUUCUGUAGCUCUAGUUAUAAAUAAUUUAGUGACAAUGACUCAAGUAGACAACUCUGAAUGAUCAUAUUAGUAAAUAGUGGAAACAUAUAUGAAUAUUUAGCUAGCAUGGGUUACAUUAAAAAUGGAUCACACGGCCAAGGCCAAUUUGGGCCGAGUGGGCCACGCGGGCACAUGGGCGUGUGGGUCCAUUUUUACCAAAAUGUUUCUAAGGCUGCACAGGUUGCCCAAGUCGACUGUGAACCUACUGUAAGGUCGGUAAGUGCUACUUAAACCCCUAAAUGUGUGAAAUUGACUGAAUGAUAUUUGUACUGAGCAUGUUAAUAUCUAAACUGAAUAUAUGUACUGAAAUUGCAUAAUAGCAUAUCAUCCAUGGUAUGUUGCAUUGCAUUGGGUUGAGGGUUGUUAUUUGGAGGAAAUGUACUAAAAGGCUUUAAGCCUAAUUUACUGGAAUCUUAGCUACAAACUACUGUUUUGUGCCGCAAUAUUCAAUACUACUUGAAGUGUAGGAAUGGGUGGGUUGAUUAUAUCCCCACAUGGUGUGUAGAGGCUGGUUGGCAAAUGGAGUUUUAGUAAGCACAAGCAUCGUCAUCUGUCCAUCAUAACUUGGAAGACAACAAAGAUACUCAUAAAAUAGAUCUGCAAACUGAAAAGAGAGAAGUCAUGUGGAGUGAAUAAGAAGAAGAAAGAAAAAAAGGUUGGUGGGAGGAAGAAAAAGGGUCGCGAUAGCCAAUCCGAAGGUUGUCAAUGCCAUUGGGCAAAAUAAAACAUAAUAAACAAACGGCUUGGAGAAAAAAAUUAAGAAAGAAGAAAAAAUUUAGGCAAAAUUUAUAUUAAUGUAAGAAAUGUAGACUUAUUAUGAUAUUACAUUUUUUAGUGUGAUCAUUCAAUUAUUAAAAAUGUAUUUAUAACAAAUUAUGUAAAAUUUUAUAUAAGCAUAUAAUAUGUUAUGCAAAGAGAAUCACUUUUCUUAGUUGAAUUGUUAUAACACAUUAUACAAAAUAUAUUUUAAAUUAAAGCAUAAUGUGAAUACGAUACCAACCAACAAAUUAAAUUCGAUGAUUUAUGGAUAAUUACAUUUAUUACUCAAUUUAAUUUAAUUCAAAGAGCUAUUGAAUACACAUAACAAUUAAUUAUGAUUAAACUUUAAAUUUCACAGAAAAUAAAAAGAAAUAGAUUGUUGAAAAUGAUAAAAUGGAAAGAUAAAGCUACAAACUUCCUCCCCACAAACCUAAGAGCUUUUUAUUCAAAAUGCAGAAAUCAACAAAAUAGUCCUCACAAUCCAACUUAGCAUAGUAAAACAAUUAGGUGGGGAAAUCAAAUAGUAAAUUCCUUUUUCCUUGAAUCAACACCAACCGACUUUGUUGAAAUCUUCACUAUAGCUAAUCACAUUGCCUGAAGAUGUGAUAUGUAAGAAAAUUGGCCAUUGUUGAGUAACGACAGGUUGUGAUGCACUUUCCAAUAAAAGAAAACCAAACACUUCGCCAAUAAGGAUUUAUGUAAAGAACAACAAAAAUUGUCAAGACCACAACUAUAUAAGAAACCAGGAAGCUCACACAAAAAUCAUAUGUGUCUAGCAAACUGUCCUCUCCUUCAUCAUCUAACGAAUUUGAUCUAGUUGAUGGUGCAUCUGGUUUGGAGCAACUUUUAUGCAAAAUAGUUCCACAAAGAAAAGGGUUUCCCUCGUAACUACUUUCAAUAAAGGUCCCAAAUUGAGCUUUUGGUUCAGGAAUACUACCUGACAAGUUGUUGUGUGCCACACUAAAAACUUCCAAAGAGUUCAACUCUACCAACUGAUUGGGGAUUUCACCACUCAAGUUGUUGUAAGAAAGGUCCAAACUCUCAAUUUGAUGAAGUUUUGAGAAUGAUGAAGGUAUAACUCCGAUCAACUUAUUGUGUGACAAGUUUAAAGAAUAGAUUUCACUUAAGUUCCCUAAUUCUGGUGGGAUAUGACCAGUUAAGUUGUUGCAAGAUAAAUCAAUCCCGGUCAUAUAUGCAAGGAUGUUGCCCUCGUACGAAUACAACCCACUCUUUGUUGUGAACUCUAUUACUUCUUCUAAAUUCUAUUACUUCUUCUAAGUAGCUGUCAGGGUAGUAAGGAUUUAUAUCCCUUUCCAAUUUUCUCAUCGCAAUGGAUGUUGAUUCAUCCUUUUCUGUAAAUGGAAGAUAGAACCCAGUUGCUAGACUCUCUUUCUCUUUCAUUGGAAGAGAUAAAUUUCCCAAACAAGAAGGUAUAGGACCAGAAAACAUAUUUUGAGAAAGAUCUAUGAUGCUUAAAGAAUACAACUUGCAUAACUGAAUUGGAACUUUGCCAUGAAAAUGAUUAUCUUUCAAGAGAAGAACACUCAAAGAAGAAAGUGUGUCAAUCCAUUUUGGCAUGCUACCUGUCAAAUUUUUUUCUCUAAGAUCUAAAGUCACUAGUGAAGAGCUAUUAUAAAAAGCAAGUGAUAGUGGACCUCUCAGUCUAUUCCCGUGGAGGUGGACAUGCUUUAUGUUUGGUGGAUUAAAACAUGACGGUAUAGAGCCAGAUAAAUUAUUUUGAGAAAGAUCCAAAAACUCCAACCAAUUCAAGUUGCAAAAUUCCAUUGGAAUAGAACCCUCGAAACCAUUGUUGGACAAAGCCAAUCUCAAUAAAAAUGAUGCAUUCCCUAUCCAUCUUGGGAGCUUUCCAUGCAACUGGUUGUUACUGAGAUCAAUAUCGCUUAGUGAAUUUGGAAACUCAAAAGUAGACACAUCAACAUUUGUCACCUCUCCUGAAAAUUUAUUUCCAUCCAAAUAUAAAUUCUGCAGCCCAUUUGCUUUGAGAAUCGCAGGAACUACAUUUCCACUGAAGUUGUUAUUUGAUAGUCUCAAAAUGGUCAGUGAGCCUUUCGUGAUCAACUCUUCUGGUACUUUUCCAUACAAUUGAUUGUUUGAUAGAUCUAAAAUUGAUAAAUCCUUCAUGCCACUUAAACAAAGUGGGAUAUUACCUUCAAAAGCAUUCUUGGAUAAGAAU